CCUGCUUCUGGGUCGGGGUUUCGUACG
rnacentral:piRNA from 4 species